rnacentral:rRNA from 1 species
UACGAAGGGGCUAGCGUUGCUCGGAAUGACUGGCGUAAGGCGCGUAGGCGGCUUGCACCGUCAGAUGUGAAAUUCCUGGGCUUAACCUGGGGCUGCAUUUGAUACGUGUGGCUUGAGUGCGGAAGAGGGUCGUGGAAUUCCAGUGUAGAGGUGAAAUUCGUAGAUAGUUGGAAGAACACCGGUGGCGAAGGCGGCGACCUGGUCCGUGACUGACGCUGAGGCGCGAAGCGUGG